rnacentral:tRNA from 1 species
GCGACAGUGGUGUAGUGGUUAGCAUAGUUGCCUUCCAAGCAGUUGAUCCGGGUUCGAUUCCGGCUGUCGCA